rnacentral:rRNA from 1 species
GAUGAACGCUGGCGGCGUGCCUAAUACAUGCAAGUCGAGCGAACAGACGAGGAGCUUGCUCCUCUGACGUUAGCGGCGGACGGGUGAGUAACAUGUGGAUAACCUACCUAUAAGACUGGGAUAACUUCGGGAAACCGGAGCUAAUACCGGAUAAUAUAUUGAACCGCAUGGUUCAAUAGUGAAAGACGGUUUUGCUGUCACUUAUAGAUGGAUCCGCGCCGCAUUAGCUAGUUGGUAAGGUAACGGCUUACCAAGGCAACGAUGCGUAGCCGACCUGAGAGGGUGAUCGGCCACACUGGAACUGAGACACGGUUCAGACUCCUACGGGAGGCAGCAGUAGGGAAUCUUCCGCAAUGGGCGAAAGCCUGACGGAGCAACGCCGCGUGAGUGAUGAAGGUCUUCGGAUCGUAAAACUCUGUUAUUAGGGAAGAACAAAUGUGUAAGUAACUAUGCACGUCUUGACGGUACCUAAUCAGAAAGCCACGGCUAACUACGUG